UACGUAGGGAGCGAGCGUUGUCCGGAAUUAUUGGGCGUAAAGAGCUCGUAGGCGGUUUGUUGCGUCGGCCGUGAAAACCUGCAGCUUAACUGUGGGCCUGCGGUCGAUACGGGCAGACUUGAGUUCGGUAGGGGAGACUGGAAUUCCUGGUGUAGCGGUGAAAUGCGCAGAUAUCAGGAGGAACACCGGUGGCGAAGGCGGGUCUCUGGGCCGAUACUGACGCUGAGGAGCGAAAGCGUGGGGAGCGAACAGG
rnacentral:rRNA from 1 species